rnacentral:pre_miRNA from 1 species
GUGGUACUCCCUCCAUCCCAAAAUUCUUGUGUUAGAUUUGUCCAAAUACGGAUGUAUGAAGUCACGUUUUAGUAUUAGGUACAUCUGUAUUUAGACAAAUGUAAGACAAGAAUUUUGAGACGGAGGGAGUACUAG